rnacentral:tmRNA from 2 species
GGGGGCGCACUGGUUUCGACCGGUUUACGUCGCUACCAGGUUGCGUGCCGGGGAUCCCAGGUCACCCCGCUAAUCAUCCCGGGAACGGCAUUUUACUUGCCGACAACAACUACGCACUGGCAGCCUGAUAGCUGCCCGUCUUCGUUCGGAGUGCCCGUGGCCGGGCGAAGACGCCAUUAGCGGGCUGGUCGCAACGCUGCGCCUCGGGGCCGCGCGACGAGACUUUACCGAGGCUGGCUCAGAAGCAAUGUGUCCGCGGGCGGCUGCUGAGUGAGAUCUAUGCCAGCGGACUAUGCACGUAGACGCCGGGCUCGCGCCGAUUCCGGGACGGGGGUUCGACUCCCCCCGCCUCCACCA